GACAUAGGUCGCAAACGUUAUCCGGAAUUAUUGGGCGUAAAGGAUGCGUAGAUGGUUCAGUAAGUUACUGGUGGGAAAUCGAGGCCCAACCUCGUGGAAGUUAGUAAUACUGUUGAACUUGGGUGCAGGAGAGGUUAACGGAACUUCAUGUGGAGCGGUAAAAAUGCGUAGAUAUAUGAAAGAACAUCAAUAUAGCGAAGGCAGUUAACUAUUUUGCUACUGACAUUGAGGCAUGAAAGCGUGGGGAGCAAAACGG
rnacentral:rRNA from 1 species